rnacentral:rRNA from 1 species
AGUGAACGCUGGCGGCGUGCCUAAUACAUGCAAGUCGAACGGAGUGGCGCACGGGUGAGUAAUGUAUAGCUAAUCUGCCCUACACUAGAGGACAACAGUUGGAAACGGCUGCUAAUACUCUAUAGUGUAGGAUGAGGCUAUAUUGUAUCAGCUAGUUGGUGAGGUAAUGGCUCACCAAGGCUAUGACGCAUAACUGGUCUGAGAGGAGGAUCAGUGACACUGGAACGGAGACACGGUGGAGACUCCUAGGGGAGGCGGCGGAAGGGGAUGUUGCUCAAUGGGGGAAACCCUGAAGCAGCAACGCGGCGUGAAGGAUUAUACUGUUGGGAGCGUAAACUCCUUUUGUGAGGGAAGCGGUACCUAACGAAUAAGCACCGGCUAACUCCGUGCCAGCAGCCGCGGUAAUUC